CAAACUGUAGCUUAUUUAUUAAAGCUUUUUAUUUACAUCAACAAGAAAACAUUUUUGUUUAGUUUGA
rnacentral:tRNA from 1 species